CAAGGAUUUUUUAGAAAGGAAUAUUGUCUGCAAAAUAUGAUGUGCCAAUAAGCUCCAGUUUGCUGCGGCUUUUCGCCCAUGGCAGUGGUCCUGCAAUCUAGAUCCAGGAGUUGCAGCUCUGAAUCUAAUAUUUCAGAAUGAAGAUAUCGGAAUUCAUCACUAUAGUACCGUAUUCACCAGUAACGUUU